AUGGCAAGGAUGAAUCUGGCUGUUUCCCUGAUCAUCAUGGAGACCAUGUCUUACAUUCCUCAGAGGAACCUCCGCCUUGUAACCUUGUCUCCUUUUCUCAAGUACACGACCGUCUGGAUCAAACCUCCUGUCCUCAACUCUACCAAUGACCCUGACUGCAACACAUGGUCGAAUGAUCAGAGGGCCCUGUGCUACGACUGCCAGUCAUGCAAGGCUGGCGUGCUCACUAACCUGAAGAUUGACUGGAUGAAGACCGCCAUCAUCAACAUCGUAUUCCUCAUCGUCGUCUACUAUGUUGGGUGUUGCGCUUUCAGGAACAAGUAA
rnacentral:rRNA from 1 species